rnacentral:rRNA from 1 species
GACGAACGCUGGCGGCGUGCUUAACACAUGCAAGUCGAGCGGAAAGGCCACUUCGGUGGUACUCGAGCGGCGAACGGGUGAGUAACACGUGAGUAAUCUGCCCCUGGCUUCGGGAUAGCCACCGGAAACGGUGAUUAAUACCGGAUAUGACAUGGACUCGCAUGGGUUUGUGUGGAAAGUUUUUCGGCCAGGGAUGUGCUCGCGGCCUAUCAGCUUGAUGGUGAGGUAAUGGCUCACCAUGGCUUCGACGGGUAGCCGGCCUGAGAGGGUGACCGGGCACACUGGGGGUGAGACACGGGCCAGACUCCUACGGGAGGCAGCAGUGGGGAAUAUUGGACAAUGGGCGGAGGCCUGAUCCAGCAACGCCGCGUGAGGGAUGACGGCCUUCGGGUUGUAAACCUCUUUCAGUACCGACGAAGCGCAAGUGACGGUAGGUACAGAAGAAGCACCGGCCAACUACGUGCCAGCAGCCGCCGUAAUAC